UUUCGGUCAUUCUGUUGUAUUCUUAUCGGUUAGUAAGCUGGUUGAAGGGGCCUUGUACGCCCGGGCCACGCUACAGAGCGAGGGUGAAGGGGCCUAGCACGCCCGACCCACGGUUGGUAAGCUGGUUGAAGGGGCCUUGUACGCCCGGGCCACGCUAUAGAGUAGGGGCGAAGGGGCCUAGCACGCCCGACCCACGGUUGGUAAGCUGGUUGAAGGGGCCACGUACGCCCGGGCCACGCUAUGUUAGGAAGGGAUGAAGGGGCCUAGUACGCCCGACCCGCUAGUGCAUUACGGUCUCAGCGUUUUGGUCAGGAAUAGCCGAACAGUUAUUAAAGUCACUCGUUACUGUUGUAUAGGUCGGGAGGAGUAACGCCGAGUUGGUGGAUGCACGACAUGGACGCACGAGGU
rnacentral:misc_RNA from 1 species